UAAGGGGAGAUCUGGAAGUUUCGUUUGGUUGAUGGUUUUGGUUAAGUUUGCGUAGAAUAGGAGAUUGUUUAUCCCUUUUUUCGUGGGUCCCAACACUUUCAGCUUCAGGUCGUUUCCCCUCCCUCCUCUCUCUCUGCCCACACCCCGCGCCUUUUCUGCGUUUUUAUCAUCCCCAUUACUAUUACGUCUACGCCUCUCUCUCUCUCUCUCUCUACAUACAUAUAUAUAUAUAUAUAUAUAUUUCCCAUAUAUAUACUCACACAUUAAUAAUAUUUGAAUAUCCCAGUAUUUCAUAUAUUGUUCCUGAAACUUCUGGAAAAUCCUCCACUUCUGGUAAAAAAAAUCCAGACUUUCACAUCUCUUCUCUCAUGUUCUGUUCGUAAUCUGUAAUUUUUAUGACCGGUGGAAGAAAGAUUGCACAGUGGUGAGUUACAAAAAAAAAGGAAGAGUCUAUUUGAUUUGGUGGGCCCAUUGGAUAGGGUACAAGAGCUCUCUAAUGGUGGUCUCGGAACGAGCGACUAUGGUAAUCAAAUCUUACCAAAACCAGGCUGAACAGCUGCUACAGGAAUUUGCACUAGCAGAACCUGUUAUGCCAUAUAUUUCCAUUAUUGGUGCCAUUUUUGCAUGCAAAAUGGUUUAUGAUCUUACUCAGUUGAUCAGUUCUGUGCAUUUUAAGAGUUACUCUAGCCUUUCAAAAGUCCAACGUACUGAGUGGAAUAACAGGGCCAUGUCAACUGUUCAUGCCGUCUUUAUCACAAUUAUGUCAUUGUCUUUAGUGUUUUCGUCGGAUCUCUAUUCUGACGACAGACUUGCUGGCCCUGUUACAUUGCAAAGUUCUCCAUUGUCAACAUUUGUAUUGGGGGUUUCAGUUGGUUACUUUAUUGCUGACCUCGGGAUGAUCUUCUGGUUUUAUCCUGAUCUAGGUGGAUUGGAAUAUGUGGUUCAUCAUCUUUUGUCUUUGGCAUCUAUAGCAUAUGCCAUGUUGACAGGGGAGGGGCAACUUUAUACCUACAUGGUUCUUAUAUCUGAGACAACCACUCCUGGGAUCAACUUGAGAUGGUAUCUUGACACAGCUGGUAUGAAGCGGUCUCGAGCAUAUGUCAUAAAUGGGGUUGUUAUAUUCCUUUCUUGGCUGGUUGCCAGAAUACUCCUUUUCUUAUACCUGUUUUACCAUGUCUACUUGCACUACGAUCAGGUUAGACAGAUGCAUACUUUUGGACAGAUUUUAGUUCUCGUGGUGCCACUGGUGUUAUCUGUCAUGAACUUGAUGUGGUUUGCAAAGAUUUACAAGGGAAUGAUGAAGACAUUGGCGAAGAGGCAGUGAAGGUUUUGUCUAUAGGUGAUGCAAGUAGUGGCAAAAAGAUCAUAGCAAAGAGAAAAAAAAAAAAAAGAAAAAAUUGCUGAAGGAUACUUUUGAGAGGUGAAUCAGGCUGAGGGAAAGGCUUUCGACCUCCACAAAGGGUGAUCUCGGGGGAGUGGAGCACUUGAUUACGGUUCGAGCGCACUUUGACCAUACUAAUGAGUGCUCUCGACUCCCGGUCGAUCAAUUGAGCAUUGAGCACUUGACCAUAGGGUUUAGCGUACUUGUUUGCGGCAAAGAGUUCUCUCGGCACCUGAUCAAGCAGGGUGUUAAGCGCUCGAUUCAUGGUUGAAAAAACCUAGCCACAAUGAAGAGUAGUCAACCCAUGGUCAAGUGCGAGUGGCCACAAACUUAUAAAGUUAUGGCUGAUCACUAAUGUAGGUCGUGUCACGACUUUUGCAAUAUUUAUCUGUUGCUGAAUCACAAAGUCAUUACUGGCCAAUAACACGAAUCAUUUGCAAAGGUCGUAGUCGUGGAUCUUCGCACCUCACUAACCACCAAGAUAUCAGUGUGGAUCUUUUGUGAGAGAAUUCGUCGUCCAUGAGUUCAUUUACAGAAUUAGGAGAGGGAUAGAGAUUAAAGAAAAGGAGGAGAGAAGAAAAUUGAGACAAUUAAUCAUUUCUUUGUCUUUUAACUUGUUU